rnacentral:rRNA from 1 species
GAUGAACGCUAGCUACAGGCUUAACACAUGCAAGUCGCGGGGCAGCAUUUUCUUAGCUUGCUAGGGAAGAUGGCGACCGGCGCACGGGUGAGUAACGCGUAUCCAACCUUCCCAUGUCCACGGGAUAGCCCGUCGAAAGGCGGAUUAAUACCGUAUGAGGUCACAUGCGGGCAUCUAACUGUGACGAAAGGUUUAGCGGACAUGGAUGGGGAUGCGUCCGAUUAGCUAGUUGGCGGGGUAACGGCCCACCAAGGCGACGAUCGGUAGGGGUUCUGAGAGGAAGGUCCCCCACAUUGGAACUGAGACACGGUCCAAACUCCUACGGGAGGCAGCAGUGAGGAAUAUUGGUCAAUGGACGCAAGUCUGAACCAGCCAAGUAGCGUGCAGGAUGACGGCCCUAUGGGUUGUAAACUGCUUUCAGUCGGGAAUAAUUCGUCGGUCGUGACCGACGUUGCAGGUACCGUCAUAAGAAGGACCGGCUAAUUCCGUG